AGCGAACGCUGGCGGCAGGCUUAACACAUGCAAGUCGAAUGGGCACUUCGGUGUCAGUGGCAGACGGGUGAGUAACACGUGGGAACGUACCUUUUGGUUCGGAACAACUGAGGGAAACUUCAGCUAAUACCGGAUAAGCCCUUACGGGGAAAGAUUUAUCGCCGAAAGAUCGGCCCGCGUCUGAUUAGCUAGUUGGUAGGGUAAUGGCCUACCAAGGCGACGAUCAGUAGCUGGUCUGAGAGGAUGAUCAGCCACAUUGGGACUGAGACACGGCCCAAACUCCUACGGGAGGCAGCAGUGGGGAAUAUUGGACAAUGGGGGCAACCCUGAUCCAGCCAUGCCGCGUGAGUGAUGAAGGCCCUAGGGUUGUAAAGCUCUUUUGUGCGGGAAGAUAAUGACGGUACCGCAAGAAUAAGCCCCGGCUAACUUCGUGCCAGCCGCCGCAGUAAAAC
rnacentral:rRNA from 1 species